UGCAAUCACCUCCAGUUAGAGGCUGCGCACUCCUCUCCCUUGCUUUGUCCUCUCCUCACCCAUCCUGCUCUGCUCCCCUUACCUCUUUCUCUGGCGUUCUCUUCUGUCUCUCACUGGUAUGACCCAGUGCCAUGCUGCAAAGACACCCAGGCAGUCAGUACAGAUGAAGGAAAUGCAAGAACCAUCAUAUCCACCAACGGCCAGUGAGGUCUAGCACGGGAGAAGCCUGUUUCCUCACCUGAGGGCGGCAGCCCGGUCUAAUAGCACGACUGCAGCCUCGGAGUUCCUGAGCCAGAACCAGCUGACUGCACACACCUGGACUGCCGAGAGCAGAUAUAUGUUCGCGUCCCUUCUUUUCUCAGUGCGGAGAACUUUUGUUUCCAGCUUCAUGGUCUGGCUUUCGCCCCUCUCCCCUCCCACCUCUGCCGCAGUUCCCGCACUGGCGGCUUUCACCGCAUGCGCUCUUCAGAAAUUCAAAUCCCAAGGCGGCACGACCGUGCCUCUUGGCUGCUGUGCCGAAUGAAGCAGAGCUUCUUGGAAUCAUGACCGCUCCCUGCUCCAACCAAUCGGAUUAAUGGGAAAAGGACCUGAAUAAGCACUUUUUCCCAAAGAAGGCAUACUAAUGGUCAGCAAAUUCAUGAAAAGGUGCUCAGUAUCACUAACUGUCAGGUAGAAAUAAACCCAAACUUCAGCGAGCUAUCAUCUCAUGCCUGACAGGGGAGCUAUUAUCAAAAACAGAAAAAAUAACAAGUGUGGGUUAGGGUAGGAAAAGGAAGAAUCCCUCACUCACUAUUGGGGGGGGGGAAGGUAAAUUGGUGCAACCAUUAUAAAAAAUAGUGUGACGUUAAUUCAAAUAAUUAAAAAUAAAUGACCAGAGGACCCGCGCAUCUCACUUCCGUAGGGAUACCCAAAGGAAAGCAUCGUUGCCCUCAGGCGAUACCUGUGCCUCCAGGUGCAUUGAAACAGCAGUCACGAUGGGGAACCAACCAAAAUGUGGCUGGAGGAAUGGAUUUUUAAAAGGUGGUUAAUGCGGUCACGUGCCACAAAUAUUGUCUUAAGAAGGGCUACAGAGGACAGCACAGACACACGAGAAAGGUUUGAGAGAGGACAGAGUGAGGACGCCCAUCUCACGGAGACUAAGCGAGUCUGCGCCAAGAAGAGAUACUGGACACAGCCUCACUAACCUGAGAGGCAGCGCCAGGCAACUCCGGGAAGAAGGAACUGUGCAGGCGCCUCUAAUUCACGUCUGCAGCGGGAGCUCUGCUGUAGAUGGCAGAGCGGAAAAGGAAAGAUGCUUAACAUACAAAUCACAUAACAAGCCUUUUAUUUGUAUUUAGACAUAAGCUAAGAAUAUUGGUAGGACUCAUUCAUUCUGUGAGAAACUGCAGCCUUGUCCUUUCUGUCAAAGGAUAUAAACGGGAGCGUUUCCAUCUUAAACUGCAGAGCACGCUAGGCUGCCCUCCCCUCCCCUGGCAUCACGGUUGCCGUUGGUAUAGAACUGUCUGUGGCAUGGACUCUGGCACAGCUGGUGCCGGGCACUUUCAGUUCCCAGCACAGCCAACCCCCUCAGCCACUCUGCUCAGCAUCCAUUCAAGCCCUCCCCUCAGGCUACUUGGACUAGCCAGUCCGGGUAGACUGUGAACCUUCAACCCAGCCAACGGUGUGAGGGCGGGGGAUGUCAGCUGCAACUCAUGCCUUAAGAUAUGAAAGGAGCCGUUGCUGCCCCUCCGAGUACUUCCUACCUCACCUUGGAGGUGUAGCACACCCUUCAGCAGAAGUAAAUUCGCCUUGUUGAGAUUGCGUGGUGUCUGAGUGCUUUAUCUCUGCACUGACAAAUUGAGUCUGGGAAUUACUGCCAACAAUUCCAAUUUCUGCCAUUUUUCCUAAUAGUCAUUAGAGUCUUGAGCUUGCCUGCAGUUUAUUCUCAGAGUGAUCACCUUCUCCUGUGGAGGUUUCCAGAGCUCAGCCUUGGUUUACUCUUUCAUCUCAUCUGCCCUCUAAACCAGUUGGAGAAAAUGCUGGCAUUGUUUUUGGCAAAAACCAUAUCUUUCGCUAAAUGCUACAAGUACUCUUGGGAAGUCUGUGUGGUGGGGUAUUGAACUGCACCAAUUGCAAGGAAAGACACAGUUUCCACUGAGC